rnacentral:tRNA from 1 species
UCCCACGUAGCUCAGUCAGUAAAGCAUCUGCCUUCAAUGCAGGAGACCUGGGUUCAAUUCCUGCAUUAGGAA